CUACAGAUGGUUGUGUGCUGCCGUGAAGGUGCUGAAAAUUGAACCUGGGUCCUCCAGAAGAGCAGUACUUUGAACCCCUGCCACAACUCUCCAUCCCCCCAAGAUGUGGUUUUUGAAGAUGAAAUUAAAGCCCUAAGGACAGAUGGGAGAGAAGACACUAGCAGGAGAGUACCAAAAUCCAGGACAGCCAAAGGAGACGGGUGCCUAGAGAGCGAUCGGGAUCGGAAGUGUUCGGGCCUUCUCAGGGUCACCUGAGAACACAGCUGGUUUCUGGAGUAUUCUUCUCCAUGUCCAGGAUUUCCUCUGUGCUUCAGGGAAAGGGAGACGCCUGCCUCUGGGACAGCAUACUGAACAGGUUCAGGAAGAGACAGCCCAGGGACCCUUUUCUUCUAUUUUGAGACUUAGGUUUUGACCACCUGGGCCAUUUCUUCCUCUCCCAUGAACACUGUCAUCUUUCAUCUGUUGGAGCCUGCAGCUCCUAACUGCCUUCUGGAAUCCAGAACACUUCUUGGGGCAUGAAGGUUAGCCUAUGUCCACAGCAAGUCCCGUGAGAGGCUGACAAACAGGAAAACAACGGGCACCGGAUGUAAGAGUUCCCUGCCAAGGUCACCUCCACUCUCCUGAGGAGGUCUCCUGCCAGCAGCCACCAGCAGUCAGUGAUGAGAAAUCAGAAUGAUGGACGCUUGGAGUGAUUGCAGAGACUGCCUUUAGCGAUUCUUAACAUUGUCCACGGCCAUUACAACAUCAAAAAGAGGCAUGAGCCAAAUGUUCUUCACAGGAAACUGGUGUCUCUCGUCGUAGCCCUUGACUGUCUUAGAACUCGCUAUAUAGACCGGGCUGGCCUCGACUCAGACAUGUGCUUGCUUCUGCCUCCACCUCCUGAUGGCACGCUUAUCUGAACAUCCCUAGAGUUCUUCUUAAGUGGCUCAAGAGAUGGAAGGAGGGGCAAUAGGGGCAGCUGAGAAAGGGGGCUUUGUCCUGCU